GUCGUACGAGAAUUUUUAAUUCAAGUGGCGGACGGGUGAGUAACACGUAAGAAUUUGCCUUUAGGAGGGGGAUAACAACUGGAAACGGUUGCUAAUACCCCAUAUGCUUUCGAGUGAAAUGGAUUUUUCCGCCUAGAGAGAAGCUUGCGGCUGAUUAGCUUGUUGGUAAGGUAAUGGCUUACCAAGGCGACGAUCAGUAUCUGGUUUGAGAGGAUGAUCAGACACACUGGAACUGAGACACGGUCCAGACUCCUACGGGAGGCAGCAGUGGGGAAUUUUCCGCAAUGGGCGAAAGCCUGACGGAGCAAUCUCGCGUGAGGGAUGACGGCCUAUGGGUUGUAAACCUCUUUUUUCAGGGAGGAAUAAAUGACGUGUACCUGAAGAAUAAGCAUCGGCUAACUCCGUGCCAGCAGCCGCGGUAAUACG
rnacentral:rRNA from 1 species